rnacentral:tRNA from 107 species
GACUUAAAAUCCGUUGGCUUUAUUGACCGUGAGGGUUCAAGUCCCUCUACCCCCA